ensembl:lncRNA
CGGGGCCUGCCCACAGAACGCCCCUUUGGGGUUGCUAUAGAAACAGGCAUAAUAAGAACAAAACAGAGGCACGUUGCCUGGCAACACAGGAGCCCAGGGUUCAUCACAUACUUACUACCUACAAAUCAGGGAACCCCCGGGGUGGGAGUGGCACUUCUGGCGAAGCUGGGGUAUCCCAGUAAUGAUGAGUCCUAGAGCUGACCUUGCUUUUCCAGUGGGUCUGGAGGACUGUGUGGUAUGGGACGCUUCUGAAGGGCAGUGGAGCACCAGCGGGAAGGCUGAAGUCCUCUCAGAUCCCUGGGUAGGUGCUGGCAAAGAGGAGCAGA